CACGCAAAGACACACAGGGACAGGAGCACAUGUAGGCUCACAGAAUCAUGACUCACAGAGGACCACGGUCAAUAAUGAGGAUGCAGUGAACUGGAGAGAGGGGGAAGGGGGACAUGAGUCCUACUUCCCCUCCUCUUCUGGAGAAAUCCUCCUGGGAUCUGUGUGACACUAAAAGCGCCGCUAACUGAGUCAGGUGGAAUAUCAUAGGAGAAAUUCAACGUGUUCAUCCAUGCAUGUCCCACCUUUGAAACAGCUCAAUAAAGGAAGCCUCAUAGCGCCCUCUACAGACAGUUUGCUGCAACACCACUCAUGUCUGAGGAGUGCACAUGUUGCAGGGAUACUUGAUUCUACAUUGAUGUCUUCAGAGAAUUUACAAGCAGUGAAAAAGAAAAAAAAAGAAGACAGAUUUCAUAGGUUUUCCCUGUACCAAAGAGACUGAUCUUAGCCUACAAUGACACCACGUACCUGGAGUAAACAAGAUGUAUCACGGCAAUGACAACCAACCCGAUGACACCACUAAAAUCCUUGAAUGCUUGGUUUCUCUGAUCUCUACAGUACAUUCCAGUUUAGGGAAUUUAACCCUUUCUUUGAAUGUGUUUUUAUUUCUUCUUUUUGUUUCAAUGUCUACAGAACGCAUUGUGUAAAUGUGGACACGAGAAUGCACGCACAAGUGAAAAACUGAAUUAAAAAAGCCCAUAUCAAUACUUGUUUCACCACCUAUAAGAUGCCGCUAGUCAUUAGCUAUAGGUUUUUAGGGAAGGGAAUUACUACCAGUGUGCCCACAAGUGUGAGAUUCACACAGAUGAGCGGACCAAAUGAAAGAGUGGCCACGGCUCGUUAUUAGCCAUCGCAAAGCCAUCGUUAUAGUCAGCCCCAGAGCCCUCUGGGACCUUUUUAUUGAUUUGUCUCAUCUUUUAGUUUCUUUUCAUUUUUGCCUGAUAUUCACUGAAUGGAAGAGCCUUAUUCAGUACAUGUUUUUACUUGUAUACCUCAUAUGUUUUAAAAAGCCCAUAUCACCAUGCAUUUCUUUUUACACUGUAUACUAUUGUAUGUACAUAAAACAAAUCAGAGAUAUAAUUAUGUAAAUUUGUCAUUUGUGUAUUUAAUGAAUCACUUUCCAGUGACUUUAGUUUUUUUUUUGUUAUGUGUUUUUCUUUGGUAAAAUUUAUAUUUUUCACUUUUUAUUUGUUUGAAUCUCUGUUUUCUUGCAUCGAAUAAUUUGCUUAUUGAUUUUUAAAAGCAAUAGCAUGCAGAAAAUGGUAUAUAGCACAAUGGUAUAAAUGUUGUUUAAAUUAGUGAUGGGAAAUAUCAAACACUUCUGUCAAUAAAUAGCCGUAAUACAAUUUGUCAGAGGGUUUACAACCACAGUACCGUGUACAGACAUGCAUGAUAUGUGCAGAUGCAUAAGAGCAUGCAGACAGGUACGAACACACUCACAGACUCUCUAUCUAUCUUCCAAACACAUAUACAAAUGCACACGUAUCACACACGUUACACACUUUGCAUCCUAGUUACAUUUCAGAGCCAAGGUUAAUUGAGUUCUAACUAAAUAGACCUGUUAACCUCCUGCUGAUUAAUGGGGUUACCGAUUCACCAACAAGAUGAUCUCACUAACAAGCUGGGCACACUGCCUCUAUUUGUGCAAAGACAGACUCUCACACACACACACACACACACACACACAAACAUAUACAGACUCACACACCUGCAGAUACAAGAGAGAACGAAAGCAAUUAUCAAUUCAAAUGUUCUAUGCAAUGACUCAUUUUGAACCUGGAAGUGAUUCAGCCUAAAACAGUUUAUUAUCAUCAUUGUACUCACGAGAAAACAACAGGAUUAUGAACUAAAAGAGUAAAAAAAAAAGGUACUGAAAAUGUUUUUACUUAGCAACUUGUCUGUAUGAAUUUGAAUAUUGAAUAUUGAACUAGAAUUGUUUUUAUUUUCGUGGCAUGUUUUGACCCCUCACUCCCCGCACGGGGGACUUGUUGCCAAAGGGUAAACUGUGUAGACUGUCGGUUUUGAAUGUCCACCAUCAUGUUGCUUUGAAGCAUGGGUUUGCUUGGCUUUGUCUGGCUGUUUGUAAGCCCUCAUUCAGUUUUUGUGCGUUUUGGCUGACCUGGGCUCCUCAGUGUUUGGCUUGCAGUGACUGUCUGUGCUGCUAUAAACAUGUGAUACAGAUGGUCAGCACUUCUCAUUAAUACGUGUCAUUGUACAUAUCGGGUGUCAGUAUAACCUGUUGGGUGAAUGGAAUGCUUCUAUCGGAUAUUUCAUCGUUGAUUAACCCACUCAGCAGCCAAGCCAUUGGAAAGGUGCAUGAUUAGAUCUUAUAUUCUUGAAAGUUGUACCUGAAUUUAAGAAAGGUAAGGCAUGAUUUCACCAAGGUUUGCCUAACGAACCUUGACUUCACUGGCCAACGUAGAGAAUAAUAAUGAGUAAAAUGUUCAGCCAGUCAUUCACAAAUCAGGGCAUGUCAUUUUGAAAGCACAAGCCUGACUGGUAGCACUUGCCGCUGGAUGAAAAGGCAGAACUGUGGAGGUUGCAUAACAGUGCCUCUAACUGAACAGUGUAAGAUCACAACAAGGUGGAGAUGCGAUCUGGUCGGUAUGAGGCUCAUGAGACAAAACAGCCUUCAGUGCAGCCAUCCAGAUCAACAGAAAGGCAGAUAGACACAUUCUCACAUUCUUACUGUAAAUACAAAUUCAUUCUUCUGUACAGCUUUUGAGUUUUGAGUACGGCUGUCAUGUGCAUCCCCAUGCCGUAUUUGCUGCCAACUUUUGUGUAUAAAAAAAUAUUUAUUAUCACAAUAAUGAGGAUGAUGAUGAAACUAAUGAUGAAGAUGAUGAUGAUUAUUAUUAUUGCAUAAGCAUAGUGUAUGUGGCUGACUUGUAUUGACUGUUUACAACAGUGGAACAAAACGUGUAUUCAGAAACAUAUCCAGUCUGUGUAGAGUUUCUAUACAUAUUGUAUUUGUAAAACAAUAUCGGAAAAAAAAAACCUCCCUGGCAAUUGCAGAGCAGAAUGCUUUUGUCAGACUAUCAGGAGGUCUUCGGUUUGAUGGAUACGAUCUGCAAGGUGAUGAAGGGAAGCGGCGUUAAAAAAAAAUCAGUUAAAAAUCUGGAAAAUGUCAUUCACUGUUGUAAGUGCAAUGAGCAAAAUGUCAGUCGUGUAUCCAUUGUGAAACCUUGUGUUCUAUUCAGUGUAUUCCUGUAAACAGAUAGAGUAAAAAUUUUGGUGCAUCAUGUCAAGUAAUGUGAUUAAUGAAAAUAUUGACCCUGCAAUUUCCGAACAGAGAAAAGAAUAAAAAGAAAAGGAAU
ensembl:lncRNA